AGAUUGAACGCUGGCGGCAGGCCUAACACAUGCAAGUCGAGCGGUAGAGAGGUGCUUGCACCUCUUGAGAGCGGCGGACGGGUGAGUAAUGCCUAGGAAUCUGCCUAGUGGUGGGGGAUAACGUUCGGAAACGGACGCUAAUACCGCAUACGUCCUACGGGAGAAAGCGGGGGACCUUCGGGCCUCGCGCCAUUAGAUGAGCCUAGGUCGGAUUAGCUAGUUGGUGAGGUAAUGGCUCACCAAGGCGACGAUCCGUAACUGGUCUGAGAGGAUGAUCAGUCACACUGGAACUGAGACACGGUCCAGACUCCUACGGGAGCAGCAGUGGGGAAUAUUGGACAAUGGGGCGAAAGCC
rnacentral:rRNA from 1 species